GAGUAGUGUUAGUGUGUGUUAGUCACCAGGCCUUAGUGGUACCAGCCAGAGUAGUGUUAGUGUGUGUUAGUCACCAGGCCUUAGUGGUACCAGCCAGAGUAGUGUUAGUGUGUGUUAGUCACCAGGCCUUAGUGGUACCAGCCAGAGUAGUGUUAGUUACCAGGCCUUAGUGGUACCAGCCAGAGUAGUGUUAGUCACCAGGCCUUAGUGGUACCAGCCAGAGUAGUGUUAGUGUGUGUUAGUCACCAGGCCUUAGUGGUACCAGCCAGAGUAGUGUUAGUUACCAGGCCUUAGUGGUACCAGCCAGAGUAGUGUUGGUGUGUGUUAGUCACCAGGCCUUAGUGGUACCAGCCAGAGUAGUGUUAGUCACCAGGCCUUAGUGGUACCAGCCAGAGUAGUGUUAGUCACCAGGCCUUAGUGGUACCAGCCAGAGUAGUGUUAGUGUGUGUUAGUCACCAGGCCUUAGUGGUACCGGCCAGAGUAGUGUUAGUGUGUGUUAGUCACCAGGCCUUAGUGGUACCGGCCAGAGUAGUGUUAGUCACCAGGCCUUAGUGGUACCAGCCAGAGUAGUGUUAGUGUGUGUUAGUCACCAGGCCUUAGUGGUACCAGCCAGAGUAGUGUUAGUUACCGGGCCUUAGUGGUACCAGCCAGAGUAGUGUUAGUGUGUGUUAGUCACCAGGCCUUAGUGGUACCGGCCAGAGUAGUGUUAGUGUGUGUUAGUCACCAGGCCUUAGUGGUACCAGCCAGAGUAGUGUUAGUGUGUGUUAGUUACCGGGCCUUAGUGGUACCAGCCAGAGUAGUGUUAGUGUGUGUUAGUCACCAGGCCUUAGUGGUACCGGCCAGAGUAGUGUUAGUUACCAGGCCUUAGUGGUACCAGCCAGAGUAGUGUUAGUGUGUGUUAGUCACCAGGCCUUAGUGGUACCAGCCAGAGUAGUGUUAGUGUGUGUUAGUCACCAGGCCUUAGUGGUACCAGCCAGAGUAGUGUUAGUGUGUGUUAGUUACCGGGCCUUAGUGGUACCGGCCAGAGUAGUGUUAGUGUGUGUUAGUCACCAGGCCUUAGUGGUACCAGCCAGAGUAGUGUUAGUGUGUGUUAGUUACCGGGCCUUAGUGGUACCGGCCAGAGUAGUGUUAGUCACCAGGCCUUAGUGGUACCGGCCAGAGUAGUGUUAGUCACCAGGCCUUAGUGGUACCAGCCAGAGUAGUGUUAGUGUGUGUUAGUUACCGGGCCUUAGUGGUACCAGCCAGAGUAGUGUUAGUGUGUGUUAGUCACCAGGCCUUAGUGGUACCGGCCAGAGUAGUGUUAGUGUGUGUUAGUCACCAGGCCUUAGUGGUACCAGCCAGAGUAGUGUUAGUGUGUGUUAGUUACCGGGCCUUAGUGGUACCAGCCAGAGUAGUGUUAGUGUGUGUUAGUUACCAGGCCUUAGUGGUACCAGCCAGAGUAGUGUUAGUGUGUGUUAGUUACCGGGCCUUAGUGGUACCAGCCAGAGUAGUGUUAGUGUGUGUUAGUCACCAGGCCUUAGUGGUACCGGCCAGAGUAGUGUUAGUGUGUGUUAGUCACCAGGCCUUAGUGGUACCAGCCAGAGUAGUGUUAGUGUGUGUUAGUUACCGGGCCUUAGUGGUACCAGCCAGAGUAGUGUUAGUGUGUGUUAGUUACCAGGCCUUAGUGGUACCAGCCAGAGUAGUGUUAGUGUGUGUUAGUCACCAGGCCUUAGUGGUACCAGCCAGAGUAGUGUUAGUCACCAGGCCUUAGUGGUACCAGCCAGAGUAGUGUUGGUGUGAAUUAGUUACCGGGCCUUAGUGGUACCAGCCAGAGUAGUGUUGGUGUGAAUUAGUUACCGGGCCUUAGUGGUACCAGCCAGAGUAGUGUUGGUGUGAAUUAGUUACCGGGCCUUAGUGGUACCGGCCAGAGUAGUGAUGGUAUGUAUGAAUUACCGGGCCUUAGUGGUACCGGCCAGAGUAGCGUUGGCUCCUCUCCAGAUGAGAAUCUCCAGACCCGUAUCCACCAGGAAGACAAACCUACAGGAACACAGAGCAUUAGAACUACAGAACUACAGGAACACAGCAUUAGAACUACAGAACUACAGGAACACAGAGCAUUAGAACUACAGAAACACAGAGCAUUAGAACUACAGGAACACAGAACAUUAGAACUACAGGAACACAGAACAUUAGAACUACAGGAACACAGAACAUUAGACUACAGUAACACAGAACAUUAGAACUAUAG
ensembl:lncRNA